rnacentral:rRNA from 1 species
AUUGAACGCUGGCGGCAGGCCUAACACAUGCAAGUCGAGCGGAUGAAGGGAGCUUGCUCCUGGAUUCAGCGGCGGACGGGUGAGUAACGCCUAGGAAUCUGCCUGGUAGUGGGGGAUAACGUCCGGAAACGGGCGCUAAUACCGCAUACGUCCUGAGGGAGAAAGUGGGGGAUCUUCGGACCUCACGCUAUCAGAUGAGCCUAGGUCGGAUUAGCUAGUUGGUGGGGUAAAGGCCUACCAAGGCGACGAUCCGUAACUGGUCUGAGAGGAUGAUCAGUCACACUGGAACUGAGACACGGUCAAGAGUCCUACGGGAGGCAGCAGUGGGGAAUAUUGGACAAUGGGCGAAAGCCUGAUCCAGCCAUGCCGCGUGUGUGAAGAAGGUCUUCGGAUUGUAAAGCACUUUAAGUUGGGAGGAAGGGCAGUAAGUUAAUACCUUGCUGUUUUGACGUUACCAACAGAAUAAGCACCGGCUAACUUCGUG